rnacentral:rRNA from 1 species
UCCUGCCAGUAGUCAUAUGCUUGUCUCAAAGAUUAAGCCAUGCAUGUCUAAGUAUAACUUACUAAGAAAACUGCGGACGGCUCAUUAAAUCAGUUAUAAUCUAUUCGGUGGAUAAAUUUAAACGGAUAACUGUAGUAAUUCUAGAGCUAAUACGUGAAAGAAACCCGGGCAACCGGGCGUUUUUAUGAGUUCUUCAAACCUACUUUUCACUGAAUUAUCGUAAACUAACAGACCGACGGGCAACCGACGGCGCACCGUAUGAAUUUCUGCCCUAUCAACUUUGAUGGUAGUGUAGUGGACUACCAUGGUUACGACGGGUAACGGGGAAUUAGGGUUCGAUUCCGGAGAGGGAGCCUGAGAAACGGCUACCACUUCUAAGGAAGGCAGCAGGCGCGCAAAUUACCCAAUCCCGACACGGGGAGGUAGUGACAAAAAAUAGCAAUGCUUUGGUUAUUCAAAGUAACCGGGUAAUUGAAAUGAGUACAAUUUAAAAACCUUAACGAGGAACAAUUGGAGGGCAAGUCUGGUGCCAGCAGCCGCGGUAAUUCCAGCUCCAAUAGCGUAUACUAAAAUUGUUGCAGUUAAAAAGCUCGUAGUCGAAAUAGGCCACGAUCUGACCGGGCCCAAGAGGCAUCAAAACCGGUCGGGUCGGGGCUCCUUAGGUCUUCCGUGGCGUCGGGCUUAACUGUGCCGUGCUGCGGUUGCCGCAUUUACUGUGAAAAAAUUAGAGUGUUCAAGGCAAGCUCACGGGCUUGAAUAGAUUAGCAUAGGAUAAUAGAUCGGUCAAAAAAUUUACGUUCGUAGGUUUAAGAUCUUGACAACCGUUAAUAGGGACUAUCAGGGGCGAUCAUAUUUCAUUGUCAGAGGUGAAAUUCUUGGAUUUAUGAAAGAUGAACUAAUGCGAAAGCAUCCGCCAAGGGUACUCUCAUUGAUCAAGAACGAAAGUUAAGGGAUCGAAGACGAUCAGAUACCGUCGUAGUCUUAACUAUAAACGAUACCGGCCAACACUCGAAUGACGUUAAAUGGAUGACUCCUCCGGAAGUUUGUGAGAAAUCAUAAGUCUUCGGGUUCUGGGGGGAGUAUGGUCGCAAGGCUGAAACUUAAAGGAAUUGACGGAAGGGCACACCAGAAGUGGAGCCUGCGGCUUAAUUUGACUCAACACGGGAAAUCUCACCAGGUCCAGACAUUAUAAUGAUAGACAGAUUGAUAGCUCUUUCUAGAUUUGAUGGGUGGUGGUGCAUGGCCGUUCUUAGUUGGUGAAUUGAUUUGUCUGCUUAAUUGCGAUAACGAACGAGACCUCAGCCUGCUAACUAGUGUGGUUAACUUUCAAAUGAUUGAACCCGGCAAUUUUUGGGGGGCCCCGGUCCUUCAAUAACUGCAGGUGGAAAUCCGAAAUGUUGACAUUUCACUUCUUAGAGGGACUGCCGGUGGUAAACCGGAGGAAGUUUGAGGCAAUAACAGGUCUGUGAUGCCCUUAGAUGUUCUGGGCCGCACGCGCGCUACAAUGACCCGGGCAACGAGUCCACCCUUGACCGAACGGUCUGGGCAAGCUUUGAAACCGGGUCAUAACUGGAAUAGAUCAUUGAAAUUAUUGGUCUUGAACGAGGAAUUUCUAGUAGGUGCGCGUCACUAACGCGCGCCGAUUACGUCCCUGCCCUUUGUACACACCGCCCGUCGCUUCUACCGAUUGAACGUUUCGGUGAAAAAUAUGGAGUAGCUAUCGCACCCUGCGAGGGGUAAAAUGGCUUUUCAAAAUAUUGUAAACCACAACGUUUAGAGGAAGAAGAAGUCGUAACAAGGUCUCCGUAGG